rnacentral:rRNA from 1 species
CGCGUGGAGUGAUGAAGGCUUUCGGGUCGUAAAACUCUGUCGUUAGGCAAGAACAACGUACGAGAGUAACUGCUCGUACCUUGACGGUACCUAACCAGAAAGCCACGGCUAACUACGUGCCAGCAGCCGCGGUAAUACGUAGGUGGCAAGCGUUAUCCGGGAAUUAUUGGGCGUAAA